rnacentral:antisense_RNA from 1 species
CCUGUACCGUAUUAAUCGAAUAAUCUUAUUGUUCAUAAAAUCCAGAGCAUGUGGGUGAGAAGAAUCGAUGCAGAAGCCAUCGCUCAGAGCGAUUUUCAGUACCUCUUCCACGAAGACCUGGAAGCUGUUGAUCUGCUUGUUGGCGGGCACCACCCAGAGCCUCUUGAGGUUCUGCUUGGUGUACUCCUCCUCUGGCAGGCCCUCCACAUUGGCCACCCAGUCCAGAGUCAGGUGGUUGGGGUCCUGCAAGUGGCUGGUGAUGGAGGAGAGAUUGCCAUUGGAGCAGUAGAAGAGCUUAGAGCCAAGGAGCUUGAGGAAGAGGCAGGAGGUGCUGAAGAUGUUGGCAUUGAAGACCUCCAUGCUGGAAGAGGAGAGGCUGUAGAUCUGGGGCGCCUCGCGCACAGUGAAGUGGACCGUCUGCACACGCUGGUUCAGUGUGAUGUUGAGCAUGGCAUUCUUCUCGGCCUUGGAGAGCUCCACUUCCUUCUCCUGCAGGGCCUCAAUCAGGGGCUGCACCUGGUAGAAGUCGGCCUCCCUGCGGAGCAGCCCCAUCUCCUGGAAGUCCUCGGGCAGGUCAAGGUGGGAGGUCCGCAGGAAGUUGAGGAUAUAGCGGAACACUUUGCCGUCACGGUCAAUGAAGCAGUUGCCCUGGCUGUCCCUCUUGGUGGGCAUCUUCCCGCUGAACAUGGCGCCUAGCAUGGAGUCAGGGAAGCUGGUCAGGGUCGCCAGUGAGGUUGUAUAGAGCUUCCCCCCGACGUUCAGCGUGAUGGGGUCGGACAUGGCAGGAGACUGGGUUGCUGGAAGUAGUCCUGGAGAGGGUGAGAAGUGAGAAAUGACUAUAACCAAACCUUAUCAGAGAACUCACAGUCCUUAACUCCUUAUUGUACAUCAAGCCUAUGCCCUUGGGGUUGAAAUGAAUUAAUACCUGAUGAAUGGGUGAUAAUUGCUAACACUGUGCAAAGUACAUUAGCUUCACUAGGGAGAGGGAAAGGAGAAAGGGAAAAGGAAAGGAAAAAGGAAACAGGGAAAGAAAGGGAAGGACCCCUAAAGCCUGGGUCCCCCCCGCCCCCCUCUGCAGCCAACAUUCUAUUUUAAUUGGUCUGGAAUACUGCCCCAGCACUGGUAUUUUGAAAGAGUUCCCUUAGUGAUUCUAAAUGUUCAGUUAGAAUAGAGAACCACUGGUCUAAAGAAAGAAAGGAAAACGUGCCUGGACUGAAAGCUAUGCUACGUGUUUAUACAUAUAUUUGCUUACAUAAUAGUUGUAUCAGCCAGGUGCGGUGGCUCACACCUGUAAUCCCAGCACUUAGGGAGGCCGAGGCAGGCAGAUCACCUGAGAUCAGGAGUUCAAGAUCAGACUGGCCAACAUGGUGAAACCCCAUCUCUACUAAAAAUACAAAAAUUAGCUGGGCAUGGUGGUGGGUGCCUGUAAUCCCAGCUGUUCAGGAGGCUGGGGCAGGAGAAUCAUUUGAACUCAGGAGGUGGAGGUUGCAGUGAGCCGGGACUGAGCAACUGCACUCCAGCCUGGACAACAAGAGUGAAACUCCGUCUC